CCUGGUUGAUCCUGCCAGUGGUCAUAUGCUUGUCUCAAAGAUUAAGCCAUGCAUGUGUAAGUUUAAGCGAGGUUAAACAGUGAAACUGCGAACGGCUCCAUAAUCAGUCAUAACUUGCAUGAUGGAGUACGCUGGCGUUGCCAGCGGGAUAUGGAUAACCGUACAAAAUGUAGAGCUAAUACACGCCAAGAAAGCGGUCCUUGCGGCUGCGGUAUUUAUUAGAGAUCAGGACGACGCGUGCUUUGCACGGGAUGUUGAGUCACGAUAACUUUUCGGAUCGGGGCCGUGUUUACACGGGACGAUGGUUCAUUGCGAUGUCUGCCCUAUCACUUUACGAUGGUAGGAUCGAGGCCUACCAUGAGGUUGACGGGUAACGGCGAAUGAGGGUUCUAUUCCGGAGAGGGCGCCUGAGAAAUGGCGACCACUUCCAAGGAAGGCAGCAGGCGCGCAAAUUACCCAAUCGCGACACGCGGAGGUAGUGACGAACAAUAACGAUGGGUUCUCCUUGUGAGAGUCCAAUUGGAAUGAGAGCAACGUAGAAGAUUCAACGAGUACCGAUUGGAGGGCAAGUCUGGUGCCAGCAGCCGCGGUAAUUCCAGCUCCAAUAGCGUAUAUUAAAGCUGUUGCGGUUAAAAAGCUCGUAGUCGGAGUUGAGGCGUUGUCCGCUAAGCGACGGCAUUGACUGUUGUUUGGGGGCUUGUCUUUGCUUCCCGCGCCUUGUGGUGUGGGGGGGAUUACUUUGAACAAAUUAGAGUGUUUAAAGCGGGCGUUUAGCCUUGAAUACAUUAGCAUGGAAUAAGGUAGAAGACUUUGGUCCUGUUUUGUUGUACUGAUGGGGCCUGGGUAAUGGUGAAUAGGGACGGACGGGGGCAUGAGUAUUCCGGCGCAAGAGGUGAAAUUCUUAGAUUGGCGGAAGACUGGCUGAUGCGAAAGCAGUUGUCAAGCAUGUUUUCAUUGAUCAAGAACGAAAGUCGGGGGAUCGAAAACGAUCAGAUACCGUUGUAGUCUCGACCAUAAACGAUGCCGACCAGGGAUUGGGAGAGGCCCGAGACUUUCUCACGACUCUUCCAGCACCUUAUGAGAAAUCAGAGUGUUUGGGUUCCGGGGGGAGUAUGGUCGCAAGGCUGAAACUUAAAGGAAUUGACGGAAGGGCACCACCAGGAGUGGAGCCUGCGGCUUAAUUUGACUCAACACGGGGAAACUCACCAGGCCCAGACAUAGUGAGGAUUGACAGACUGAGAGCUCUUUCUUGAUUUUAUGGAUGGUGGUGCAUGGCCGUUGUUAGUUCGUGGAGUGAUCUGUCUGCUUAAUUGCGAUAACGAACGAGACCUUGGGGGCUUGCUGCGGGGGUCUGCGUGAGCAGGACUUCGCUCCUAGCCCUACUGCUGC
rnacentral:rRNA from 1 species